rnacentral:rRNA from 1 species
GAUGAACGCUGGCGGCGUGCCUAACACAUGCAAGUCGAGCGAUUCUCUUCGGAGAAGAGCGGCGGACGGGUGAGUAACGCGUGGGUAACCUGCCCUGUACACACGGAUAACAUACCGAAAGGUAUGCUAAUACGAGAUAAUAUACUUUUAUCGCAUGGUAGAAGUAUCAAAGCUUUUGCGGUACAGGAUGGACCCGCGUCUGAUUAGCUAGUUGGUAAGGUAACGGCUUACCAAGGCGACGAUCAGUAGCCGACCUGAGAGGGUGAUCGGCCACAUUGGAACUGAGACACGGUCCAAACUCCUACGGGAGGCAGCAGUGGGGAAUAUUGCACAAUGGGCGAAAGCCUGAUGCAGCAACGCCGCGUGAGCGAUGACGGCCUCGGUCGUAAAGACUCUGUCCUCAAGAAGAUAAUAGACUGUACCCACA